CACGUACCAGCCUCCCCUGCCCGCCCCACAACCCCACCCCAGCCAACACACCAGAGAGAAUGUCCCAUUGCUUUGCCCCACCAUUAGAUUGGUCAGAGCUAAGAGCCCAGCCAGCUGGCGUUCUACCCAGGAAGGGCUGUAGUGCCGACAGGCGACUAGCUCGAACGGCGCCAGUCCGAGAGCACUACUGCCUCCUUCCACGAGCGCCGCUGCGGUUGCACUGCUGAUUGGCUGGCUCCACUCUCUUCUAAGUGGCUUAGCCUUGCGUUCGCGCAGGGACACAUCCAAUGAGGAGCGAGGGCGCUUUCAGGAGGCGGGCAUUGCUCGACCGGUUCCACUUCUGAUUGGUCCAGGGGCUUGCCUCUUCUCUUUUGAUCGAUCAGAGGGGCGGGAGGCGGGAGCCCAGCUCAACGGUUUCAGGCGGCAGUUGGGAGUUCUGUCCCUGUGCUUCGAAAGUUCAGCUUCAGGGCUCGGUGGAGUGUUGUCUGGCGCCUACUUCCCCGCAGCUAGCUGAGGAACUGGGGAGGGAACACGGGGGCAGGAGGACCUGGGACUGUAGCUGCAGCUCCAAGUCGGGAUGGAGACCGACUGAGGCGAGUGGCGGACCGGCGGGUGCAAACCCCUCAAAAAGCUGGAAGAGUCAGGUGCUGUAGUAGUAGUAACAGCAGCUCCCGCUCACCGAGCCCUUUUGGUGGACCGCUGUGUGUGCAUCAUCUCACUGACUCCUUCUAAAUAACCCUGUUACUCUGCCGGUUAACCUCUGAGGGUCAUUUGUCGCCCACAGCGAGAGCCGGCAUUGCUGGAACUCCGAUCUUGUUCUAGAGAGUCCGGCAUUCGAGCUACACCAUGAUUAAGUAGGGUUGAUCUUGUAGAUGUGGGGUGGGGCCUGAUGUGAUCACCUUGGCCCUGGCUUACCUCGUCCAUAUAUGAAGGUGUUUGGGUUUUGGUUUUGGACUAGGAUCUGAUCCUGAAGGCUUCACUCAGUACAUAUGCUCAAGUCCUCAAACUUUUAGGGAAUGGUUUAACCCUUCCUGGCAACGCUGCAAGCCCUGCCACGUGAACAAACUUGGGCUGGCCUGCGGUAGACACAUGGCCCAGUUCAGAGUCAUUACCCCAGCCACCUACACCCACUGCCAGCCAGCCAUACAUGGAUUGCUUUUAGGUUAUUCUCGUACAGAGCAUCUUUGCACCCACUUGUGAGUGCAUAUGCAGAAUAGAUUCCCAGAGGUGGAAUCACGUGGUCAAAGGGGUGAGAGUUUUACAUUUUCGGGACUAAGCUUACCUGCCCUCGUGUAAGGAAUGUAAACCACAGCGGGUGUAGUCAGAGGCGUGUGCCUGCCCGAUGGCUUGUACAGUGUAUUCUUUCCAUUCUAUACUCUCAGAUGAUGAAAGAAACAUUGACCCAGUGGGGCAGGAGAGGGAGGUAAGCCUGGGGAGGUGGCAAGGAGACAAGCCAUAAGGGACCUUCAGUGCCAGGCAGAGGUGCUGGAUGUUAUCCCGAGGACACUGGGGAGCCGAGUAGGAGUAGAGGCUCGAUCAAGCCAUGGACAGACGUGGUCAGGUAGAGAUGUGGUAAGAAGAAACAUCAAAUGGCUACCUCUCCCUUGGGUGGCCCCGGGAGCCUCACUCGGCCCUCACGUCUCUCUCCUUCCCUCUCACCCACAGGAGUGGGCAUGAGAGCGGAGGGACCAGGGCAGACAAACCUGUUCUGCCGGCCGAGGCCUGCCUAGGACAGGCCACGCUGCUGCCAGUCCGGCUGAGUGAACUACACUCUGCAGGCGUGUGACCAGAUGGAGCCAAGGAAGGUGGUGGCAAAUGUGGGACAGAGGUGGAAGCCUGCCUACCCGCCUUCUCCGAAGCCAGCGCAACCCCCAGCCCCAGCAUUUGGCAGGGCCUGGCCUGUUUUAACUGUUUAGGUAAAAUUCGAAAAUGUUCCAGGGCGCCUGGAACAUUGUGGCUGGGUCGGUUAAGCGUCCGACUUCGGCUCAGGUCAUGAUCUCACAGUUCGUGAGUUCGAGCCCCGUGUCAGGCUCUGUGCUGACAGCUCAGAGCCUGGAGCCUGCUUCAGAUUCUGUGUCUCCCUCUCUCUCUCUGCCCCUCCCCCGUUCAUGCUCUGUCUCUCUCUGUUGCAAAAAUAAAUAAACGUUAAAAAAAAUUAAAAAAAAAAAAAAAAAGAAAAUGUUUCGCAGAACCAUUCUUUCCUUGAUACACAUCUCAUGUCCCAUGGUGACGUUUUUCUUAACAUUUGUUUAUUGUUUUUGGAGGACAAACAAUAAUCAUUGAAUAUUGGCAAAUACCAAAAUAGCCAAGGAAUGAAGUAAAAGUCCCUGCAAGUCUCUCCUCUUCCUUAGUAACCGACGAUAACCUUUGGGAGACUUUGUUUUACAAUUUUAUUUAUUGAUUUUUUAAUGUUUAUUUUUGAGAGAG